rnacentral:misc_RNA from 1 species
UAGAGUGUAACCCCCUCAUAAAAAAAGGGGGUACCCUCCCGUCCUUUGCAGGCCUUUAGGGGCUUUUAGACUUUCUGCUUCGGUGGGGUAAACCCACCGGAACACCCUCAAAAAUUCUUAUGAAAAAUUGUUCGGUCCGAGAACAUUUAAAAAAGCGAA